AACGGUUUGGCAGAGUUGACGAUGAUCUGCUACAGCUGGUCUGUGUUCAGCCCAGAUCCCUGCUCUGACAGGACUCUCCCAUCAUCUCACACACCUGCGAGUUUAACGCUGAAUUCAUCGAGAGCAAAGCAACCAGCAGAAGGGGGAAAGGGGCAGGCAGACAUGAGUGAACGGGUGAUGGAGGAAACCGUGACUGGAAACAUUUGUCCUGUUUAAUGUUUGGGAGGAUCCAUCUUGUUGUUUAUGUUGUUUCUAAACCUCCUGCAGCGCAGACGCACUCACAGCGUUCCUCUCUCAUCACAGGAAGAAGCUGGUUUAGCUGCUAAACCUUAAAACAACGGGUCAAUGCACCACAAAGAAAUCUAUUCUAAUUUCAGGUCGACUUUAAUGGAAACCAAUGCCUGAAGUCUGAUCAAACGAUUACACUUCAUUUCAGUUUCCUGUGUGCACUGAAGAUUGGUCUCUACGCUUUCAGUUUUAGCUGAAAAUGUCCUGCUUGCUCUGUUUGUUUUACUCCACAGUAAGUUGCAUGUCGCAGUUUGAAACCAGUUCGAUCCUGCCUGAUGCUCUGGAUCAGUGUGUGCCUGUAAUCUCCUUACUGAGUGGCCUCUGGGGUGUGUUCAGAUGGUAACAAGCUGGGUAUCUUCAGCAGAGGGCAGAGGUUGAAGGAAAUGGCUCUGAACUCCAUGAUGUCUUUACAUAAGACCAUAAAGCCGGUCUCAUGUGAAUAGAGGGCUUUACAGGACGAAUUCAGUCGACUGGAGGAUUAGAAAAAAACAGCUCUCUCUGUCUCUUCCUUCCUCUCUUCAUCCUUUCUUCCUCUCCCAGAGCUUUUCUCUCCCCCGUGCCUGUUCUGUCAUUCAUCCUCCUCCCUCUUCAUCCGUUGCUCUGUCUGUGUCUCUCUGUGGGUUUUCGUGCGUAAAAACCCAAAUUGCUGGAUUACGACAAAGUCACCUCGCCCUCGCACUUCAGCUCUCAGACGAGGGACCAAGGACGAAGGUUUGUUUUAUCUUUGUAGGGACAUUUUUCACCAGAUGGCCAAUGUACUAUGCACUCUUGUUCUCCAUGUCUUUUCUCACGUUCUCACAUGAAGAGUCUGACUCUGCAGAAAGUGAACUGUUUGCUGAUGUGACUGAACUAAUAUCAUGAUUUCCUUCUCUGACUUUAAACAGAUUUUUUUUGGUACUUUUCAACUAAUAGAAAUGUUGACGUGAUAAAUUUUCUAUUUAAUCUACCUUUUAGUCUCUGAAACACUCCUCUCUUUCUCUCAGAGGCGGAGUGAGUUCAGUAUGACCCUGAUGGAGGGAGGAGAAAUUACAAAGCUUUUGGGGGAAGAAAGAGCAGAGAAGAUCUCAUGGCGAGCUCAUUUCUCCAAGUCCAGGUGAAGGCAGGUCCACUUCGUUUUGGGGGCAGAGCUCCACACAUCGAUGGAAAGGAUGGAAAGAGACGGAAAGAGAGACGAAGUGGAAACAGGGUGAGAGCUGUGUUAGAGUGAAUAAAUUCUGGUGAGUUAUAUCCUCUCCUCACCACACAAACACAGCCGUCGUCCUCCUUUCACCUGACCUGGCAAACAGAUUGGCUUCCCAUCCUGAAAAAAGCCACGGUACCAAUCCCAUCAGCCCCGGCUUCCUGUGCACACUACACUCUCAUCCUGUCUGUGCCUGGACUCCGCUCAGUGUGAACAGAUAACAGUGCUAGAAAAGAUGAGGUGGGGAGGAGGGGGAGUGUUUUCAUCAGAUGAAUGCAGUUUCAAUUUUUCAUUUCCACAGGGUGGAGAGAUGGCGAGGGGAUAGUGUGUGUGUCUGUGUGUGUGUCUGUGUAGAGAGAGGUGAAGGGGAAGUGAGUGUGAGACAGUGAACUGAAGUCAAACAGACACAAAACACUGAAAGAGGCAGAUUUAGUUUCACUAAAUAUUCUUGGAGGCAGAAAUAAUCUUAUCGGCUGCGUCACCCAGGUGGCUGCUGCACUGGCUGAGAGCUAAAGCCUCAGGGGGCAGUUUUCAUGUCGGCGGCUGCAGUGGAUAAUGUGGGAAAGUCACAUUAAAAUUGACUGAACACCAGGUGGCAACAAAACACUGCAAAUAUCACUGGUGUAUUUCUACAUUCCUUACUUGCACUUUACAUCCACGUCUGUGCAGAAUCAUUAAUGCAGUGAAGCAUCUGAAGUGCAUUUUUUGGAAAAUUCCUGAUUUGUUAAUAAGGAUAUUUAAAUAAAAUCGAUUUGACUUCACUUUGUUAAGUUCUUGUAACUUGUUCUGCUGUUUUUCUACUUUAUCAGUGUGAGAGUUCAUUGGAAAAAAACCAGAGUCAGACUCCCCUCAUCAGCUGUGUGAUCAGUUUUCCAUCCAUCACUGUGAACGUACAGGAUUCAAAUGACUGGUGCGCAUUCAAAUACUCCCUGAGCUCAGAGCACCUGUCUGCUGCUUGUGUCUCUGCGUGUUCGGAGUUUUGUUGUUUUAAUCGUGUCUGUGGUGUGCUGGGUUGUCUGGAUGCCCCUGAGGCGUUCAGGUCAGGCCACAUCUCUGAUGUACCGGCUUAAAAUAGAACAAUAUGAGCUGUAUAGUCUGUCACAGUCAGCUUUUCUCUGGUCUCGUGUGUUUUCAUGGAUGGCAAAGCUUUUUCCUGUCAGAGAAGAGCAGUGUUCUUUACAUUAAUGCCAUUCAAAGUGCGGAUUUUGGUUAAAUGCUAAAAAUAAAAAAAUAUAUCCUGUCUCAGCAUUUAGCUUUUUCAUAUUAAGAAAACGUUGGCAACAAUUUUGAUAAUUGAUGAAGUAAUUUUUAAUAAAUUGUUGAAAACUGACACCAAACGUCAGCGCAGACUUCAGACGUACCAACUUCACAGGACUUCUGUUUAAAAUUCUUUGCCAUGUCACAGCUGGAACGAAUGCUCUGUAAUGCUGUUGAUGCACAAACCAGCAGCAAUUUAUUGUUGAAAUCUCUGAAACUGACGUCACUUUGUUACUGUCGAUGUGUUUUAUAUGCAAAUAGCAGUGAGUUUGUAUAAGUACUGAGGCUGCAUUACACAGACAGUACAGUAUGUCUGCAGCAGAUACUCAGACACAAGAGUCCACAAAGAGACGACACAGAGGGAGGAAGGUCACAGACAGAUCCUGAUCAGACAUGUCAGUAAACUCUUCCUCCUCCUCCUCCAGUCACUCCCUUCUUCAUCCUCACCUUUCCUCCAUCAACUCCUCUCUUCCUGUUGCUAUUAAUUGCUUCAUCACCAGACCAGGCUCCUUGAUUUUCACCUCGUACAACAUCACCUACAUCCUCCUCCUCCUCCCUCUCUCCAUGUUCAUCCUCUACCUGGGCGUCCAGCGAUGGCGACAACAGCGUUCGUCCUCCACAUCAGCAAAGACGAGUCACUCUGACAUCUUCACCUACCACAUGGCCACUGUGGAGCUGAUUGGUGUCUUUGGGAAUUCCCUCUGCUGCACUGGUGUCUACAGUGGUCAUUUAAAUUACUUAUUUUUGGGGACAUAUCACAUGACUUUCACCUGGUAUGGAGAGACAUUCUUCCACCUCCUGACCUGUGUGGAGCGCUACCUGGCUGUCGUUCAUCCCAUCAUCUACCUGAGCCUGAGAGAAGAGAGAGGGGUCAGAAUCAGAAAUAUCACCAUCGGCUGUGUUUGGAUGUUUUGCUUUGCAGGGACAUGUCUGUAUAUUAUGAGCAAUGUCCUCUUAAUUUCAGAUUUGUGUGUGUUGAUUUUCUCCUCUGUUGCCAUCUCCUUCUUCAGCCUCUCUGUCCUCUGCGCUCUGAUUCGUCCAAAGCCAGGGGAACAGAGCAGGGACAGGCAGAGGGUCGACCAGUCAAAGCAGAGGGCGUUCUACACCAUCAUGGCCAUACUGGGGGCUCUGCUCCUGAGGUGGAUUGCUCAGCUGAUUUGGGUUGUCCUUUAUUCAUUGGGAGAAAGCGAGAAAUGUGCGUUAAUGACCUUUCAGGUCUGGUUUAAUCUUCCCAGCGGUCUGGUGUUACCUCUUCUGUUUCUGCACAGAUCAGGAAAACUAGUGUGUUAAAGUCAAAUCAAGUCAGUUUUAUUUAUGUAGCACUAAAUCAUAACAGAGUUAUCUCACGUAGAGCAGGUCUAGGCUAUUUUCUUCGUAAUAUAAUAUCUGAUUUGUCUGUCAUAGUUUGUAAAUAAUGUCUUUAAGUUUUUGUCUUGUGUCCAUAUUGUCUCGUGAUUUCCGCUUUUAUUUUGAAAUCUUAACUUCUCUUGUUUCAGGCUGCUUGCCCUUCCUUCACGUUUCCCGCCAGUCUGAUUUUCUUCCCCACCCUGAUGGUUUCCAACUGUUCCCCAUUAUCUUGUGUGUAUAUAUUGUCUGUGUCUCCC